CAAAAUAAUAAAUAAUUACGUACACACAUUAAAAAAGCAGCCAAGAUGAAUGAGUUUAAUUUUUUAUAUAGAUUAAAAUUGAAGACAGAAGCAGCUGGUAUAUGCGGUCACUUAAUAUUAAAAUCCAGUAGAUCCACUUCAGAUUUAAUACUCAACAGUUUAUGUUCACGUGGCUGUUUUCGUUUAUAUUCGCCAAGCUAUUAUGUAUUUUGAAAUAAUCUUGUCCGUGCUGUGUUCGUUCUUACGACGAAAGGCAGAAUCCUGCAGCUCGAGAGAUAUAUGUUAUUUUGCCAGUCGCGCUUUCAAAUAGUCUUGCACACUUAAACGGGUCACAAACACCUGCAUUUAGCUCGUGUUGUGUUAUAAUGGAUGUAUUGUGUGCAUUUAUGGCAAUAAUUUAUUUUAAAAAGCUCUUAAACAAGAAUAAAUUCGUUAGUUUUGAACUUGUGACACUGUGCGCGCUGAUCGGAGGCAGUGAUUUCAGAUAGGCAGCCGCGAAUAUUUCAUUUUCACACAAACAGUUCAAAAACAUCUUAAUUUAGCUCUUGGUGUGCUCUAAUUGGUGAAUUGUGUGAUAUCGCUGCAAUACUUUAUUUUAAAUAGCUAUAAAACAAGAAUAAACUCGUUUUUUUCUGAGCUCAUCAUUCCACACGCUCCUGCUCAGAGCGGUGAUCUCUCUGGUGUUUCUCACGUAUCACUGACCACACAUCAAUUAUUAAUGAGCCCUGACCUGAUAAUAAUCAUAUAUGUUGGUUUAGCUUGUCAGUGUGAAUUAAAUCCAAGUAUUUAUUUGUAUUUUAACCGAUUUAAAAUCGAAACCAAAAGACAGUCUCCUCCCUUUUUUAGUCCGGUAACUGCACCUGUAGGGGCGCUAUUUCUCUCAGACAAUGGAAGUCUAAGCACACACACUCAAACAGAGGGACAGAGUGAUAUGAGAUGUCUGACAGUUUUUUAAUUUUCUGUUAUCCAUACAGUGUUGUAAAGUCAUGAAACUAUGCAUAUUUACUCAGAAUAACUUUUUUUCUGUAUGAAAAAAGGUUUUGAAGUGUUUGGAAUUUAAAAAUGCAGGAAAAUUAAUAAUUCCAUCUUUAUUGUCAUUUAAAAAAAAUCACCACAACAAAACCAUCCAAGCUAUCCAAAACCCAUUCACAAUUUAAGUUCCUCAAUGUUUUUUCAACAUGUACACCAAGUUUGGUGUGUAUAGUGUUACUCUCCUCUGAGCAGUAUGCAUUAAUUCACAGCUAAAUGUAAAAAACAAUCCACAUUCAAAUCAAAAUAGCCGACUUCCUGUUGGUCGUAGCUGAUGACUGUGAAUUAGAAAGUUGUCCGUCUUGAUAAGAAAAAUUUUUGUACCGAGUUUGGUGUCUGUAGCUAAAACUAACCCCCCCACUUUUGACAAAAGGUGGCGCUAUAGAGUGCCUCUUCCACGCCCUCUUAUGAACUUUUGCCAGUGUCUAGUUAUCAUAAAUACUGAUAUGUGUUCUGAGUUUGAUGAAAUUCUAAGCAUGUUAUAUGCCUCAAAAUCACCUGAGAAGUAGUCCAGUUUGACAUGUUGCCACGGCAACAAUAUUUUUAGAUAUCAAUAUCCCCCCAACAGAUUUAUAUCGGCUGUGUUUUAACAUUAUUCUGAUGAAGUUUGAAGCUAAUCGAGUAAAAAUAAGUUGCUGAAAUCAAAGCAUUUUGAAAAUGACACACUUCCUGCUGCCAGUUGGUGGCGCUAUAACUUUGACUCCUAAUAGUCACAUAUAUGCGAUCGACCUCAUACAAUGAAUAAUCUGAUGAAGUUUGAUUAAAAUCAGGAAAUGUA